AUGCUGAACUAUCAAUACACUAGAUAACGUGGGGAUGACGAGGCGGGCAGCCUUUGA
rnacentral:snoRNA from 1 species